rnacentral:misc_RNA from 1 species
AACGCACGAGACCUGCGGACCUGCGGAGGGAUCAUUACCGAGUUAUACAACUCCCAAACCCACUGUGAACCUUACCUCAGUUGCCUCGGCGGGACCGCCCCGGCCGCCGCGCAAGCGGCGCCGGACUCCAAGGCGCCCGCCGCAGGGACCCAAAACUCUUUUGCAUUACGCCCAACGGCGGGAAUUUUUUCUCUGAGUGCAUAAGCAAAACAAAUGAAUCAAAACUUUCAACAACGGAUC